rnacentral:snRNA from 1 species
GGAUGUGAGGGCGAUCUGGCCGUGACAUCUGCCACGCCAUUGAUCGCCUGGGUUGAUUAGGCUGAUCUGGCUGGCUAGGCGGGUGUCCCCUUCCUCCCUCACCGCUCCCUGUGCGUCCCUCCCAAAGCUGCAUUCUUGGUGGAAGAGGAGGACCUUCCCCAGUAGAGGAGGACCGUUCUUCGAUCAAGGGUAUACAAGUAGCUGCGCUCCCCUGCUAGAACCUCCAAACAUGCUCUAAAGAAAUAUAGAAAGAGGAAAAUACUGGAGGAGUUUGGGGAGGGAGGGGGCCCCUUUCU